rnacentral:rRNA from 1 species
GGUCUAACCUGCCCAAUGAGGGAUUGAAUGGCCGCAGUAAAUUGACUGUGCAAAGGUAGCAUAAUUAUUAGUUUUUUAAUUGAAAGCUUGUAUGAAGGGUUGGAUGAGGUAAUAUCUGUCUUUAUUUAAAUUAAUGUAGAAUUUAACUUUUGAGUAAAAAGGCUUAAAUUUUUUUAAAAGACGAGAAGACCCUAUAGAUCUUUAUUUUUUAUUUAUUUUGUUGAAUUAGGAAUUAUUUUUAGUCAGAUUAUUUAAGAAAUUUUAUUGGGGUAAUAUAAAUAUUGAUACAAUUAUUUGAAUUAUUAACAUUGAUUUAUGAUUAUUUGAUCCAAUUUUAUUGAUUAAAAGAUUAAGUUACCUUAGGGAUAACAGCGUAAUUUCUUUAAAGAGUUCAUAUCGAUAAAGGAGAUUGCGACCUCGAUGUUGGAUUAAAAAUUGUUUUAGGUGCAGAAGCUUAAGGAUUUGGUCUGUUCGACCAUUAAAUUUUUACAUGAUCUGAGUUCAGACCGGCGUAAGCCAGGUCGGUUUCUAUCUUUAAUAAUUUAUAAUAUUUUAGUACGAAAGGACCAAAUAUUUAAUAUAUUAAUAUUUAGAUUUUGAAUAAUAUUAUUGUUUUGGCAGAAAAAGUGCAAUGAAUUUAGAAUUCAUGAAUGUAAUGUUUAUUACAGACAAUACUUGUAUUU